rnacentral:rRNA from 1 species
GAGUUUGAUCCUGGCUCAGGAUGAACGCUAGCGGUCGGCCUAACACAUGCAAGUCGAGCGGCAGCAUGGAGUAGCAAUACUCUGAUGGCGAGCGGCAAACGGGUGCGUAACGCGUAGGCAACCUACCCAUUUCAGGGAGAUAGCCCGGCGAAAGCUGGAUUAAUACCCCGUAUAUCAUAGUAAGGCAUCUUAUGAUGAUAAAAGCUACGGCGGGAAUGGAUGGGCCUGCGUCCUAUUAGUUAGUUGGAGAGGUAACGGCUCCCCAAGGCGAUGAUAGGUAGGGGUUCUGAAAGGAUGAUCCUCCACACUGGCACUGAGAUACGGGUCAGACUCCUACGGGAGGCAGCAGUGAGGAAUAUUGCGCAAUGAGCGAAAGCUUGACGCAGCCAGACCGCGUGCAGGAAGAAGGCCGUAAGGCUGUAAACUGCUUUUGAUAGGGAGGAACAUGAUGGACUAGUCCGUCACUGACAGUACCUAUCGAAUAAGCACCGGCUAACUCCGUGCCAGCAGCCGCGGUAAUACGGAGGGUGCAGGCGUUAUCCGGAUUUACUAGGUUUAAAGGGUCUGUAGGCGGUAUCGUAAGUCAGUGGUGAAAUGUCUGAGCUCAACUGGGGCACUGCCAUUGAUACUGCGGAACUUGAGUACGGUUGCUGUUGGCGGAAUGUAUCAUGUAGCGGUGAAAUGCAUAGAUAUGAUACAGAACACCGAUUGCGAAGGCAGCUAACAAAGCCGUUACUGACGCUAAUAGACGAAAGCGUGGGGAUCGAACAGGAUUAGAUACCCUGGUAGUCCACGCCGUAAACGAUGGUUACUCGUUGCUGGUAAUAAUAUAUCAGUGACUUAGCGAAAGCGUUAAGUAACCCACCUGGGGAGUACGUCGGCAACGAUGAAACUCAAAGGAAUUGACGGGGGCCCGCACAAGCGGAGGAACAUGUGGUUUAAUUCGAUGAUACGCGAGGAACCUUACCCGGGCUUAAAUGUGAGGCGCUUUCGGGCGUAGUAUUUCGAAAGAAGUCUUAAACUUGCAAGGUGCUGCAUGGUUGUCGUCAGCUCGUGCCGUGAGGUGUCGGGUUAAGUCCCAUAACGAGCGCAACCCUUAUUUUUAGUUGCCAUCAGGUCAAGCUGGGCACUCUAAGGAAACUGCCAUCGUAAGAUGAGAGGAAGGUGGGGAUGACGUCAAAUCAGCACGGCCCUUAUGUCCGGGGCUACACACGUGUUACAAUGGAUGGUACAACGGGCAGCGACCUGGCGACAGGAAGCCAAUCCCCAAAACCAUCCCCAGUUCGGAUUGGAGUCUGCAAUUCGACUCCAUGAAGCAGGAUUCGCUAGUAACCGCGUAUCAGCAACGACGCGGUGAAUACGUUCCCGGGCCUUGUACACACCGCCCGUCAAGCCAUGGAAGCUGGGUGCACCUGAAGUCCGUAACCGUAAGGAGCGGCCGAAGGUGAAACUAGUGACUGGGGCUAAGUCGUAACAAGGUAGCC